rnacentral:lncRNA from 1 species
UCUUGUGUAUAAUUUGGAGUUUAGUAUGGCGUUAAUUAUCACUGAACUAGUAUAUAUAUAUUCGUAGGGGCCAGCUGAAGGACGCCUCCGGGUGCGGGAAUUUCUCGCUGCAUUGAAGACCUGUUGGCGACCUUCUGCUGUUGUCUGUUCUAUGGUCGGGUUGUUGUCUCUAUGACACAUUUCCCAUUUCCAUUCUCAAUUUUAUCUUUAUUAGUUUAUCUACUCAGUCUGUAUCAAUAUAGCUAGCCUGUCAAGUUAUUAAACCAGAACCCUGCAUAUUGGAGGUGCGUUUGACUCCAAUGUUAAUGGAAUAGAAUUGCCAGUUUUCUUUUUAUUCUUUCCGGUUUCCUCCUGCAAUGAAAACUGGCCAAUAUGGUUAACAGUUCCGACAGUGGCGUUAAACACCAAAUAUCUAUCAAUCCUUCAUUUAGAUUAAGAAAUGCAAUAAAAAGAACUGUGUAAAUGCUUUCAGUAGUGUGGCAUUUUUCAAGUGCGCAUAAUGAUCUUA